rnacentral:rRNA from 1 species
UACGUAGGGUGCAAGCGUUAAUCGGAAUUACUGGGCGUAAAGCGUGCGCAGGCGGCUUUGCAAGACAGAUGUGAAAUCCCCGGGCUUAACCUGGGAACUGCAUUUGUGACUGCAUGGCUGGAGUGCGGCAGAGGGGGAUGGAAUUCCGCGUGUAGGCAGUGAAAUGCGUAGAUAUGACGGAGGAACACCGAUGGCGAAGGCAAUCCCCUGGGCCUGCACUGACGCUCAUGCACGAAAGCGUGGGGAGCAAACAGG